rnacentral:lncRNA from 1 species
CCAUCUUUUCCGGCGCUGGCUCCUCUCCGUCAGUGCGGUUUCGCCUUUAUGGUGGUGGAGUCUGCCCAGGCUGUGGGACUAUCAGUCCUCCCUGUGCGUCCAGUUCGGAGAGGCUGCGCGCUCUCUCGGCUCACUGCAACCUCUGCAACCUCUGCCUCCAGGGUCAAGCAGUUCUCCUGCCUCAGCCUUCCGAGUACCUGGGAUUACAGGACCGCAAAUAACCCUGUACAAAGAGGAAUGGAGAUUGCCUCUAUCCACCUAGAUUCAUAAGCUGGCCUGAGGUGAUCUUGGCAUCAAGGAAGGGAUGCACAUCAUCACACCAUCAGCUUCAGAGAAUGGCAGCCAUUUAUUUGUCCCGUGGGUUUUUUUCCAGGGAACCAAUCUGCCCUUUUGAAGAAAAGACAAAGGUAGAAAGGAUGGUGGAGGACUACCUGGCAAGUGGUUAUCAGGUAAGCAGAAAACGUACUGUUGUUAAAAAUGAUAUGCUUUCAUCCAAUAGGUAGACAGAUUUCUUUCUAGACAGACUCAUCUUCAGAGUUUUCUUAGAGCAAAUGAAGCCUUACUCAAGGACUGAGUCCCCAGAUGAAUUUCCCCAGGGAAUGAAGUCUCCUAUACAUAAAAUGUUAACUUGAAAAUCAGUCCAGUAGCUCAGUAAUUACUACUUAAGCUUGACCUUCAUGGUGCCAACUGCAUCUUUCUUACAUUGCUGGGUGCGGUGACGGAUGAUA